rnacentral:rRNA from 1 species
CGUCAGACGAACGCUGGCGGCGUGCCUAAUACAUGCAAGUCGAGCGGACAGAUGGGAGCUUGCUCCCUGAUGUUAGCGGCGGACGGGUGAGUAACACGUGGGUAACCUGCCUGUAAGACUGGGAUAACUCCGGGAAACCGGGGCUAAUACCGGAUGGUUGUUUGAACCGCAUGGUUCAAACAUAAAAGGUGGCUUCGGCUACCACUUACAGAUGGACCCGCGGCGCAUUAGCUAGUUGGUGAGGUAACGGCUCACCAAGGCAACGAUGCGUAGCCGACCUGAGAGGGUGAUCGGCCACACUGGGACUGAGACACGGCCCAGACUCCUACGGGAGGCAGCAGUAGGGAAUCUUCCGCAAUGGACGAAAGUCUGACGGAGCAACGCCGCGUGAGUGAUGAAGGUUUUCGGAUCGUAAAGCUCUGUUGUUAGGGAAGAACAAGUACCGUUCGAAUAGGGCGGUACCUUGACGGUACCUAACCAGAAAGCCACGGCUAACUACGUGCCAGCAGCCGCGGUAAUACGUAGGUGGCAAGCGUUGUCCGGAAUUAUUGGGCGUAAAGGGCUCGCAGGCGGUUUCUUAAGUCUGAUGUGAAAGCCCCCGGCUCAACCGGGGAGGGUCAUUGGAAACUGGGGAACUUGAGUGCAGAAGAGGAGAGUGGAAUUCCACGUGUAGCGGUGAAAUGCGUAGAGAUGUGGAGGAACACCAGUGGCGAAGGCGACUCUCUGGUCUGUAACUGACGCUGAGGAGCGAAAGCGUGGGGAGCGAACAGGAUUAGAUACCCUGGUAGUCCACGCCGUAAACGAUGAGUGCUAAGUGUUAGGGGGUUUCCGCCCCUUAGUGCUGCAGCUAACGCAUUAAGCACUCCGCC